GAUGAAGAACGUAGCGAAAUGCGAUAAGUAAUGUGAAUUGCAGAAUUCAGUGAAUCAUCGAAUCUUUGAACGCACAUUGCGCCCCUUGGUAUUCCGGGGGGCAUGCCUGUUCGAGCGUCAUUUCAACCCUCAAGCUUCUGCUUGGUCUUGGGCCGUGCCGGUAACGGCUGGCCUUAAAACUAGUGGCGGUGCCAUCGAGCUCUACGCGUAGUAAUUCUAUCUCGCGUCUGGGCUUCGGUGGACGCUGGCCAGCAACCCCCAAUUUUCUAUGGUUGACCUCGGAUCAGGUAGGGAUACCCGCUGAACUUAAGCAUAUCAAUAAGCGGAGGA
rnacentral:misc_RNA from 1 species